rnacentral:rRNA from 1 species
UAGGGAAUCUUCCACAAUGGACGCAAGUCUGAUGGAGCAACGCCGCGUGAGUGAAGAAGGUUUUCGGACCGUAAAGCUCUGUUGUUGGUGAAGAAAGGAUAGAGGUAGUAACUGGCCUUUAUUUGACGGUAAUCAACCAGAAAGUCACGGCUAACUACGUGCCAGCAGCCGCGGUAAUACGUAGGUGGCAAGCGUUGUCCGGAUUUAUUGGGCGUAAAGCGAGCGCAGGCGGAAGAAUAAGUCUGAUGUGAAAGCCCUCGGCUUAACCGAGGAAUUGCAUCGGAAACUGUUUUCUUGAGUGCAGAAGAGGAGAGUAGAACUCCAUGUGUAGCGGUGGAAUGCGUAGAUAUAUGGAAGAAUACCAGUGGCGAAGGCGGCUCUCUGGUCUGCAACUGACGCUGAGGCUCGAAAAGCAUGGGUAGCGAACAGGAUUA